UUUUGUCACGGAAAAAUGAAGCAGAAUCCGUAGAUGCCGCAAUUAAUAUAAUGGGCUUGGAUUGACUUGAGGAUGAAAUAUUAAUUGGCGGGAGUGAUGACCAAACACUGUAUCCACCUAAAGGAAGGCAAGUCUGUUCUCUUAAACAAGAUUCUGAAUUAUGAGUCCCAGAUUUUGUAGUCUGCAUCACCAAAUCAAACUCAGCGACAUCUGCUGUAUAAGCAUUCUUUUGUUUCUCAUUCUUUGUGGCAACCUCCUGCAUGAUCUGACUACUCUCCUCAGAG
rnacentral:misc_RNA from 1 species